CGAAAGGGAAGCAGGUGCGACAGGUCCAGAGAGGACCCUCUCAACUUCUCAGAUUUCCCUCCCUCAAAAGGGCAGGAUGGAGAAACUGAGGUCCAGAAGGGGAAGGGAUUUGCCCAGGUGCUGCCUCUCAGUGCCUGCUGCUCCACACCCCCUUCCUGAUGGCCCAAGGUCUGGGAGGUCGAGGAAAUAAACUACUUUUACAGAACAGCAGCAUCUGCCGAGAAGAUAGGCCGGCCGUGUCUGUUUCUGAGCCUGAGAAAUAUAAAUAAACCUAAGGAGGAUGGAUGGCUUUCUGGGGCCCUUUAGAUCUCCACGUUCCCCUGGAACAAACCACGAAGCAGAUGGGGGAAAUAGAUCCUUGCUUCCCGCUUACCGGGUUUGCAAGGAGCCGGGCAGGAUGUGGUGGGGGGACUGGAGAGAGUGCUGGGAUGGUAAACCAAGUCGUUGGCAAACGCAGGCGGGUCUGCAUUUGGAGAAAGCUGUGGCCGGGCUUCAGAUCCCAGAGCGAAGGUUCUGAAGACAGAUCCCGAGAGGCAGACCCGGGCCCCAGACCCGCCGCUCGCCCCCUUCCCUUUGCACACCCAUGCAUCCUCCGCAACUGUAGGGUUCAUUUUAAAAACAAAACAAAAACUAAACGGAGGCCCCCAGGCUCCCUUUCUUCCCUCGCGUUUGGAAAACCCGGAAGGGGGAAGGAGGGACAGAUCCCCCGGACUAGACCCUGCGCCUCCCGAAGUGGCUGUCAUGGCGGCCACCAGCUCUUCCUUCGCGCUCCCCGCCUCCCAGCCCCAGCGCCAUUUUGAGCAUCUUCCUUGAUUCCCAGUCUUCCUCCCGCUCUCCUCGCUCCUCCUUCCCAACCUGCAGACCAGGCUGCUCAGGCCUCCUCGGACGUCCUCCCCACCCCUGAAGCCCCAGGGUGAUUGCGGGGGACCGAAAAGCAUUGCUGUCCGGCAGCGCCACAUUUCUCAGCCGGUCUCUUUUCUCGACCACCUGGGGGCCAGUUCCCGUCCCUGGGCACCCGGCUCUGCCGCGGGUGGAAACUCCCAACCCCCCACGCCAGCUCUCUGCUACCUUCAGCCCUCAGAAGGCCCGGGCCUUGCCCACAGGCCUCGCGUCCCCAGGUUUCCUGAGUUUUGCAAAUGCUCCUCCAUCCCGCUUCGGAGACUAAAAGGAAAA